GCUCCAUACUGUUAACUGCUUAAAGCAGUGGUAGAUUGCCUUCAGUUCUUCAUGAUGUGACUGUCAGGCAAGGAGUGCUUGUCUGACUGCUGCUCCCAUUUACUCAAAAGGAAGAUCUGGUAUCAACACUAAGCACUAGCUUUGGGAGUCCUGCAGUCUUGGAUCAGGAUGGGGAGAUAAGAUUGUGUCUUUCAGGAGAUCUGGUAAUGUUACGCUUCCAGUGCAUUACUAAAACAAAAUACAAGAUCCUUGAAAAUUGAAAUAUGGUCAAGAAGAACAACUGUCCAUUAACUUAAGUGCAAAAGGAAAAUGUUGUGGUUGAACAGUCUCAGGAUGUGGUCUGUAUGUUAGCACUGAGUCAUCUCUCUGGAUCCAAAAGAAUUCAUUUGUAGAAGAAAGCAGAAGAAGCUGCCCUGAGCCACCACAAGCAAUCUGCCACAAUUACACUAGCAAGGAUAAACACUUACUUAAGAGCCUGAUACAAACCUCUGUGCUGCUGAAUGCCUAGCUGAUGGUAUGCAAGAAAACAGGAGGCUUCAGGAGUCAGUUCUCCCAAGAUGGACCCACCCAGCACAAGAAAGAAGUGGCCCUGUUGGAGAGAAUCUGGAGGAGACCAUGAGAAUGCUCAGAAAGCUUAAGCACCUCUCCUCUGAAGACCGGCUGAGGGAGAUGAGCUUGUUCAGCUUGGAGAAGUCCCUGUGGAGACCUCAUUCUGGCCUUUCGGUGCUUAAAGAGAGUUUACAAGAAAGAUGGAGAGCAACUUUACAUGGACAUGCAGUGAUAAGACAAGAGCUUAUUCCUGGUUGGAAAAAUGUUCCUUGUCAACUUCUUGAAAAAUAUGUGGACCAUAAUGCAGGCUCACUGCUGUCACAGCUAACAAGCGGUGGUGUUCAAUCUAGCAUUUAAAGCCUGCUACCUGUUGGUCUGAUUCCCAAUACCAGGCAAGUGCUUGCUUCAUUUUGAACAGAAAAAAAUGGAAUACCACACAACCCUGUCUUACUUAUGUUUUUUUUGCUGCUCUGUCUGUUCUGCAACUCUCCAACGUUGGCUCAUAGUUCAUUGCAACACAAGUAAGUAGCCUUUUACACUCAGGGCUGGAAGUGAUUAUGUGCAGUGCAUAUUUUAUCUGCAGUCAAAAUCGUUGGUGGGCUGUGUCACAUAACUUGGUAUCCCUUUGAUUCUUAAAGGGCAGGUAUUGAUAUUUCAGAAAGCAACC